AUUAACACGGGGAAGGAGCUGCCAAAGCGUUGAUUACAUGUGUCAUCAAGUCAGAAUUCAUUUACACUGACCUCGAUAGGGUUUUUGAGGGAAGUGAAUAAUUUGAAGGAGUGGUUUUACCAGUUCCACACCUUCAGUGAGUUUCCAUGGCAGAGCUGGGGCACUGAACUAUAAAGGGCUAUUGAGUCCUGUUCCAUUAAUCUGUCCACUGCCCCCCCACACACUGGGUCCCUGAUAGGUAAUUAGUUAAUGUAAAUUUGCUAUUGGAUUGUAGUAGACAGUAUUUAGGUUGUUUAUGAAGUGUUGAUACACUGACUUUUGCAUUCACAGGAAGCUGAUUUUGCUGAGGCCAGAGGGUUACUAGAGAAAACAAAAUUUUGGCUACCCUGUUUCCCCGAAAAUAAGCCCUGGCCUGAAAAUAAGCCCUAAUGUGUUUUUUGGAGCAAAAAUUAAUAUAAGACCUAGCUUAUUAAUAUAUACAGUACACUGUGCUAAAUCACGUGGCCCACCUUUGGCUAGAAGUGUUGCAGCCUAUGUACAAGAUUAACAUCUCAAUGAGAAUUAGGCCUAAUUCAAAAGUUAUUAGACGUUAUUGGAGUGGACCAAAGUAAGACCAAGCUUUUAAAGGAGGCAAAGUAAAGCAGUCACGUAGCAAACAAACUCAAGGAUAUGCAGUGAAGCGACUCUAUAUAAGAAUUAUUCAGGGAGCUUGGCUGAGUUUUUUUUAUAGAUGCAUCCUUCACUGUUGGCCCUGCUGGCAAGGCCUUUUAGGAGCUGAAAUUCAAAAUAUAUGAAUGGCUAGAGGUUACCCAGAUAAAGACUCAAAUCCCCAACUCAGUGGCAGUAUGGAACUUGUGAAAACAUUCCUUAAAUGUUCCACUUACCUUGGAAACCCUAUUAGUAUCACUGUAGUCAGUUCCUGCUUUGACGGCACAUAACAGCAUCACCGGUUUCCUGUUCUAUGUAAAGGGAACGAACCUUCAACCUAUGUUUUUUGGGCAUUUUGAUAUGGCCAGCUCAGGAGUAAUACACUAGGAACAUCCUUCUUUUAUUUUCUGUGCCCUUUUUUUUGGUUUAUCUUAACACAAUUAGAUCCUGCGAUUUCCUUAAGAAACAACUUGUUUUGCCGAAAAUAAGGUAAGGUUUAUGUGUCUAAAGAGGUAUUGCUGAAGAACCUUGCUGGGUCUGGAUAAGUCUUUAUAUAUUUCCUAAGUGUCCAGGGAAAUAGAAAGCUUUGCUGACUCAGCAGGACUUUGAAAACCUGUAGUAACUCAAGAGGAUCUGUCUGCCAUUUGGUCAGAGUGUCAGGUUUGUAAUAGUUACACGAAUAGUAGCUUGAAAGAGAUGGCACAAGAAAAGUCACUGUGUGUUACGUCUUUUAACAGGAACACUUUGUCUAUUCCAGGUAUUGUAUUAUAUAAUAACAAUAAUUUUAGAACUGCAGAGCUGGAGGGGACCCCGUGGAUCAUCAAGUCCAGCCCCUGUCAAAGAGGCACAGUGUGAAUUGAACGCCUAACCUCUGGUUCUGCAGCCAAAUAUCUAAGCCGUUGACUUCUUUGCAAAACUUAACAUUAUGUUAUGUCACUUCCUAAUGGCUUAGAUGCAGCUCCUGGCAGUUUUUUAUUGGAACACUGAUUAAAUAGUGGUAUAGAAUCAGGUAUUCUAAAAACAUUUAAAGAAUAUUAAUCUUUAUGCUUUUGUAGGGAGAAAAAGACACUGUUUUUAGGAGACAUCCAUGAAGUAUGGAAUCAGGAUGUGUGAAGAAUCCCAUUCCUUCCAUAUGUCUGCUCAAUGCCACUGUUCACCCCCUUUAGCUCAGUAGGCUCAUCAUAUCUGCUAUUGCAUCACACUGUACCCAGUGUUGUUAGUGGACAGAUUGACAUCCGAGGAGUCGAGACCUGGGCUCAGUUCCCCACUUGGCCAUGGAAACUCACUGUGGGAUUGGGUAUUACUGAUGAAACCACUUCUUAAAAUAUCUCACGUACCUUGGAAAACCUUAUUAGAGUUGCUGCUAAAUUGGUUCUGACACAAUGACAUACAUGUAGCAUCCCAACGGAAGUACACUUUAAAACAGUAUCGAUUUUUUUCCCAGCAAGUUUUUUAAUCUCCAUAAGAUUUUUACUUCAGUAUCUCAUUUGUAUGCUCAUUUGUCUAGUAUAAGCUGUUUUGAACCUUAUCACCUCUUUUAUGAACAAUAUACUGUAAAGGCUGCAAUCUUGUUUCUCAUGUAGUCUUUUAUAUUUUUAUUCUUGUUUUACAUUGAUUUGAAAUUUCUAAAGUGGUUGAUAAAUAUUCUUAAAUAAACAAGCAGUAUAUAUGUUGAAAAUAAUCUUAUUUUUUCUACUACAGGAAGGAUGAGAUGAUUCUAUUGUUUAUGUGGUCCUCAAAGUUCCCCGUCUGCUUCUGAAAAAAGCUUCACCCAUCUUCCCUCUUUUGUAGCAUCAUAACUAAAAACAACCUUCCCCCACCCACCAGAAGGAAGAAGAUUCCCUUCUCUGAUUUCUCUCCCUCACACAACCAAGACAGAAAUGUUCCCUGUCAGUAGCAGAAUAUACCUUGGCCCCAAUUUCCUGCAGUAUUCCCCACCCCAGAAGAUGGGAGAAUAUGAAUCCUUAUAGAUGGCAUCUGUCCAGAUGGCAUUCAGCUCUUAAGUCUGCUUCAGCCAGAGAUCAAGCUCAAGGAGACGAAUGGGGGAUGUGUUUUUUACUCAUAAGAUGCUGUUGAACUGCAACACUGAACAUUACUCACUGUUGGCUAGGAUUAAACAGCACUGCAGUUCAACAGCAUCUAGAGAACCACACAUGCUCCACAUGAGUUCAAAGGCUGCAUUUAGGCAGUAGUUUCUCAACUUCUUGUGAAAUUUAAGAACUGAACUAUAAUUGCAAGAAAUAGUAGUUACAUUAUCCACAACUCGUGAGUCUGUCACCUGGAACAAACUAGUGAUGGGCCAACAAUGUCUUUGUGGCUGGCACGUGCAAACAGCUCCAGUGCUCCCAAAAUCUUUUUAUGUAGAAGUUGCCUAAGUGAAGAUGGGUAACUGGAGGCUCCUAUCCUUGAGAUGUGACUUUUUCCAUAUGGGGAAUGAACACAGAUGGGCGAGGGCCCAGCUCAUUACACAGCAGCAACCCAAAGGCAGUAAAUGGGGUGGGGGAAUGAAAAGGUGGCUUAGUAACUGUGAACAAGUGCAAAAAUCAUUUGCUGUCAGGCGGUGUAGCAAAGUUGCUGCAACUGGCAAAAAACAACAACAAAACAGAACAGCCUUGGGAAAGAACAGGAAGACCUUCAUUAUUGCUGCUGCUGAGAUAAAGAUUUGUCUCAAUUCUUCUCUUGUCCCCUCAAAACUGACACCCCGUUCUGUCACUUUCUGUAGCCUGAGAACAGGCCUAUGAGUUUGGGAAACUAUUUCUAAUGCUACACUAAUAUAGAAUACUGACAAAGAACAGAGAUGGUCGGCUCUCCUAGUGCAGUGGAUCUCCUGCAUUGGCAGCAGAUUGGACUAGAUAAGCUUGGUUAUCUUCCACAUCUAUGCCAUCAAAACUGUUCAGUCCCUUUAAAAGCAUUAAAAAUCCUCACACCCAGUGAUAUGGAAGCCCUUCCUCUUUAUAGCAAAUGCAGUCAGCUAUGUAUUACUGACUCCUGUGUCUUUGCAAGAGCCAUUUGAUGUCCAACUUUUCUCCUGCUUUGAGGAGCUUACAUUUACAGCUCAUGGCCAGCAAAAGUCAUCAAGCCCUGUGGCUCAGCUGGAGUGGAACAGGCUCUGUGCAGAGAGCACUGCAGAGUAGGGGGCAAUCCAUGCUCCUCAGUGAGGGGGUGUGCCUAUGAACCUGUUGUCAAGGAAAAUUACAGGCCUGAGCAGAAUGGAGUGUAUUAAUGAGAAUCCAUAAUGAUCAGGUAUG